GAUGAACGCUGGCGGCGUGCCUAAUACAUGCCAGUCGAGCGGACGGACGAGAAGCUUGUGGCGCGGAUGUUAGCGGCGGACGGGUGAGUAACACGUGUAUCACCUACCUAUAAUACGGGGAUAACUUCGGGAAACCGUAGCUAAUACCAGAUAAGAUUUUGAACCGCAUGGUGCAAAAGUGAAAGACGGUCUUGCGGUCACGUAUAGAUGGAUCCGCGCUGCAUGAGCUAGUUGGUGAGGUAACGGCCUACCAAGGCAACGAUGCAUAGCCGACCUGAGAGAGUGAUCGGCCACACUGGAACUGAGCCACGGUCCAGAGUACUACGGGAGGCAGCAGUAGGGAAUCUUACGCAAUGGGCGAAAGCCUGACGGAGCAACGCCGCGUGAGUGAUGACGAUCUUCGGAUCGUAAAACUCUGUUAUUAGGGAAGAACAUAUGUGUACGUAACUGUGGAGAUAGUGACGGUACCUAAUAAGAAAGCCACGGCUAACUACGUG
rnacentral:rRNA from 1 species